rnacentral:rRNA from 1 species
AUACGUAGGGAGCGAGCGUUGUCCGGAAUUACUGGGUGUAAAGGGAGCGUAGGCGGGAGUGCAAGUCAGAUGUGAAAUACAUGGGCUCAACCCAUGGGCUGCAUUUGAAACUGCAUUUCUUGAGUGAAGUAGAGGUAAGCGGAAUUCCUGGUGUAGCGGUGAAAUGCGUAGGUAUCAGGAGGAACACCGGUGGCGAAGGCGGCUUACUGGGCUUUUACUGACGCUGAGGCUCGAAAGCGUGGGGAGCAAACAGGAUUAGAUACCCUGGUAGUCCACGCUGUAAACGAUGAUUACUAGGUGUGGGGGGACUGACCCCUUCCGUGCCGCAGUUAACACAAUAAGUAAUCCACCUGGGGAGUACGGCCGCAAGGUUGAAACUCAAAUGAAUUGGCGGGG